AUGAAGAUCACCAGAGGAGGUCCUGCCAUCUCCCUUUCUCUGCCUCACUGGCAAAAAUAAAACCGGCCAACAAACGAAACACACUGUCUCUUCGCGCUCUUGAUAAAGGUCACAGGAAGGCCAGGUACCCAUCUCCUCUGCUAAUCGGCUCAGCAGCAAGUGAGGUAGCCUCCUGUGGCAGUCAGCGUCUGGAUGAACAGUAAGGAACAUGGCCCGCAUGUUCUCUCGGCCACCACCCGCCUUCCCUGGUCUGGGAACAAGAACCACCAAUCAGCGUUUAUUCAUGUAACACCGGGAAGAUGAAUGAAGUGUGGAUUUUUUGAUCAAGAGUGGCCACGUGUUUCUCAAGUGAUUCAUUAUCGAUGUGGGUAGACCAACUGGCUUCAUAAUU